rnacentral:sRNA from 1 species
GUCAACAAGAGUUGUUGCUGGUCCCCAUACGGGGGCAUGUGCACACUUUGUUUACACAUCCACUCACACCUGUGCACCCUCCGUAGUUCUAUGGCCUGGGUGGGCUCUGUCCUCCUGGCGUGGUUCUACGUCUUUACACACACACUACAACAAAGUCUUAUGGAAUGUAUGUCGCGUUUAACGCAAUGAAAUACAACUUUCAGCAACGGAUCUCUUGGCUCUCGCAUCGAUGAAGAACGCAGCGAAAUGCGAUAAGUAAUGUGAAUUGCAGAAUUCAGUGAAUCAUCGAAUCUUUGAACGCACCUUGCGCCCUUUGGCUAUUCCGAAGGGCAUGCCUGUUUGAGUAUCAUGAACACCUCAACUCUCAUGGCUUGCCAUGAUGAGCUUGGACUUUGGGGGUCUUGUUGGCCUGUGAGCCAGCUCCUCUUAAAUGAAUUAGCUUGCCGGUGUUUGGUGGCAUCACGGGUGUGAUAACUAUCUACGCUUGUGGUUUCCCACCAGGUAACCUUCAGCAAUGGAGGUUCGCCGGAGCUUAUAAAUGUCUCUCCUCGGUGAGGACACAUUUUGACCAUUUGAUCUCAAAUC